UACGGAGGGUGCAAGCGUUAAUCGGAAUUACUGGGCGUAAAGCGCAUGCAGGUGGUUUGUUAAGUCAGAUGUGAAAGCCCUGGGCUCAACCUAGGAAUCGCAUUUGAAACUGACAAGCUAGAGUACUGUAGAGGGGGGUAGAAUUUCAGGUGUAGCGGUGAAAUGCGUAGAGAUCUGAAGGAAUACCGGUGGCGAAGGCGGCCCCCUGGAAAGAGACUGACACUCAGAUGCGAAAGCGUGGGUAGCAAACAGG
rnacentral:rRNA from 1 species